AUGAAGGAGAUCACGACGAAGAAGAAGAAGACGAAGAAGUCGUCGGUUGUCGUCAGUGCUGGCGAGACCGAUGAGGAGGCGAUGGCGAGGUUUGCUCGGGAGCAUCCGGAGUACGUCCAGGCCGAGAUGGAGUACUACUGGAAGUGUGAGGUGGAGCAGAAGAAGAAGGGGCCGAAGAAGAAGGAUGAGGCCGGUCCCUCAACGGUGAUCCCCAUCGAGUCCUCUUCCGAGGAGGACUGGGCAGACUUCUCGGAGGAGGAAGAGGAGGGGGGGUGCGACGACCCGACGAAGGAGGAGUUCUGGGAGCAGUUCCGUAGCUCCGAUGAGGAUUGA
rnacentral:rRNA from 1 species